GACGAACGCUGGCGGCGUGCUUAACACAUGCAAGUCGAACGGUAAGGCCUUUCGGGGUACACGAGUGGCGAACGGGUGAGUAACACGUGGGUGAUCUGCCCUGCACUUUGGGAUAAGCCUGGGAAACUGGGUCUAAUACCGAAUAGGACCAUGGACUUCACGGUUUGUGGUGGAAAGCUUUUGCGGUGUGGGAUGGGCCCGCGGCCUAUCAGCUUGUUGGUGGGGUAAUGGCCUACCAAGGCGACGACGGGUAGCCGGCCUGAGAGGGUGACCGGCCACACUGGGACUGAGAUACGGCCCAGACUCCUACGGGAGGCAGCAGUGGGGAAUAUUGCACAAUGGGCGCAAGCCUGAUGCAGCGACGCCGCGUGAGGGAUGACGGCCUCGGUUGUAACCGUACUUUCAGCACAGACGAAGACGCAAGUGACGGUAUGUGCAGAAGAAAGGAACCGGCCGAACUACGUAGCCAGCAGCCGCGGUAAU
rnacentral:rRNA from 1 species